rnacentral:rRNA from 1 species
GUGCUUAACACAUGCAAGUCGAACGAAAGGCCCCUUCGGGGGUACUCGAGCGGCGAACGGGUGAGUAACACGUGGGCAACCUGCCCCUAGCACCGGGAUAACACCUGGAAACAGGUGCUAAUACCGGAUAACAAUCGAUGCGGGCAUCCGCGACGAUUCAAAUGUUUUUUCGGCUAGGGAUGGGCCCGCGGCCUAUCAGCUUGUUGGUGGGGUAAUGGCCUACCAAGGCGACGACGGGUAGCCGGCCUGAGAGGGCGACCGGCCACACUGGGACUGAGACACGGCCCAGACUCCUACGGGAGGCAGCAGUGGGGAAUAUUGCGCAAUGGGCGAAAGCCUGACGCAGCGACGCCGCGUGAGGGACGACGGCCUUCGGGUUGUAAACCUCUUUCCAGCUCUGACGAAGCGAGAGUGACGGUAGGAGCAGAAGAAGCACCGGCCAACUACGUGCCAGCAGCCGCGGUAAUACCGUAGGGUGCAAGCGUGUCCGGAAUUAUUGGGCGUAAAAGAGCUCGUAGGCGGGUCUGUCGCGUCAAAUGUGAAAAACCCGGGGCUCACUCCGGGCCUGCAUUCAAUACGGGCAGACUAAAGUUCGGUAGGG